rnacentral:rRNA from 1 species
GCGGAAGAUGUAACGGGGCUCAAACCAUACACCGAAGCUACGGGUAUCACGUAAGUGAUGCGGUAGAGGAGCGUUCUGUAAGCCUGUGAAGGUGAGUUGAGAAGCUUGCUGGAGGUAUCAGAAGUGCGAAUGCUGACAUGAGUAACGACAAUGGGUGUGAAAAACACCCACGCCGAAAGACCAAGGUUUCCUGCGCAACGUUAAUCGACGCAGGGUUAGUCGGUCCCUAAGGCGAGGCUGAAAAGCGUAGUCGAUGGAAAACAGGUUAAUAUUCCUGUACUUCUGGUUAUUGCGAUGGAGGGACGGAGAAGGCUAGGCCAGCUUGGCGUUGGUUGUCCAAGUUUAAGGUGGUAGGCUGAGAUCUUAGGUAAAUCCGGGAUCUUAAGGCCGAGAGCUGAUGACGAGUUGUCUUUUAGAUGACGAAGUGGUUGAUGCCAUGCUUCCAAGAAAAGCUUCUAAGCUUCAGGUAACCAGGAACCGUACCCCAAACCGACACAGGUGGUUGGGUAGAGAAUACCAAGGCGCUUGAGAGAACUCGGGUGAAGGAACUAGGCAAAAUGGCACCGUAACUUCGGGAGAAGGUGCGCCGGUGAGGGUGAAGGACUUGCUCCGUAAGCCCAUGCCGGUCGAAGAUACCAGGCCGCUGCGACUGUUUAUUAAAAACACAGCACUCUGCAAACACGAAAGUGGACGUAUAGGGUGUGACGCCUGCCCGGUGCCGGAAGGUUAAUUGAUGGGGUUAGCUAACGCGAAGCUCUUGAUCGAAGCCCCGGUAAACGGCGGCCGUAACUAUAACGGUCCUAAGGUAGCGAAAUUCCUUGUCGGGUAAGUUCCGACCUGCACGAAUGGCGUAAUGAUGGCCAGGCUGUCUCCACCCGAGACUCAGUGAAAUUGAACUCGCUGUGAAGAUGCAGUGUACCCGCGGCAAGACGGAAAGACCCCGUGAACCUUUACUAUAGCUUUGACACUGAACAUUGAGCCUUGAUGUGUAGGAUAGGUGGGAGGCUUUGAAGCGUGGACGCCAGUCUGCGUGGAGCCAUCCUUGAAAUACCACCCUUUAAUGUUUGAUGUUCUAACUCGGCCCCGUAAUCCGGGGUGAGGACAGUGUCUGGUGGGUAGUUUGACUGGGGCGGUCUCCUCCCAAAGAGUAACGGAGGAGCACGAAGGUUAGCUAAUCACGGUCGGACAUCGUGAGGUUAGUGCAAAGGCAUAAGCUAGCUUGACUGCGAGAGUGACGGCUCGAGCAGGUACGAAAGUAGGUCUUAGUGAUCCGGUGGUUCUGUAUGGAAGGGCCAUCGCUCAACGG